rnacentral:lncRNA from 1 species
GGCCUAGAUUCGUGUGAAAGCUAUUUUCUACCAACCACAUCUUUCUGGGUUCGAUUGUUUCUGGAAAAGGUUGCACAUCACAUAAUAGGAAAUCCCAAGAGUGUGAAGACUGUUUCCUGCCAGUGGAGGCCUUGUUGUGGUUGGCUGUUCUGACCAUAGAGACACGGAGCAUCGCUAACACCUUGCAGUGGUUCCUCAAGACUAAACUGAUGUGCAGUUUGAAGAUUUCAUCAUGGCUAUCAUUGACUUUAUAAAUCUGAAGAUAAAAACAUGUUAAGACCAGUUUUACUACCAUUCACGUUUCUACAACAUUUGAAAUGAAAAUAAAAGAUAACCCAGCUAUUCUUUCUUUGGUUCU